GAUGAACGCUGGCGGCGCGCCUAACACAUGCAAGUCGAACGGCACCCCUCCUCGGAGGGCAGCGAGUGGCGAACGGCUGAGUAACACGUGGAGAACCUGCCCCCUCCCCCGGGAUAGCCGCCCGAAAGGACGGGUAAUACCGGAUACCCCGGGGUGCCGCAUGGCACCCCGGCUAAAGCCCCGACGGGAGGGGAUGGCUCCGCGGCCCAUCAGGUAGACGGCGGGGUGACGGCCCACCGUGCCGACAACGGGUAGCCGGGUUGAGAGACCGACCGGCCAGAUGGGGACUGAGACACGGCCCAGACUCCUACGGGAGGCAGCAGUGGGGAAUCUUGCGCAAUGGGGGGAACCCUGACGCAGCGACGCCGCGUGCGGGACGGAGGCCUUCGGGUCGUAAACCGCUUUCAGCAGGGAAGAGUCAAGACUGUACCUGCAGAAGAAGCCCCGGCUAACUACGUG
rnacentral:rRNA from 1 species